rnacentral:rRNA from 2 species
AGUGGGGAAUUUUGGACAAUGGGCGCAAGCCUGAUCCAGCCAUGCCGCGUGCGGGAAGAAGGCCUUCGGGUUGUAAACCGCUUUUGUCAGGGAAGAAAAGGUUCUGGCUAAUACCUGGGACUCAUGACGGUACCUGAAGAAUAAGCACCGGCUAACUACGUGCCAGCAGCCGCGGUAAUACGUAGGGUGCAAGCGUUAAUCGGAAUUACUGGGCGUAAAGCGUGCGCAGGCGGUUAUGCAAGACAGAGGUGAAAUCCCCGGGCUCAACCUGGGAACUGCCUUUGUGACUGCAUGGCUAGAGUACGGUAGAGGGGGAUGGAAUUCCGCGUGUAGCAGUGAAAUGCGUAGAUAUGCGGAGGAACACCGAUGGCGAAGGCAAUCCCCUGGACCUGUACUGACGCUCAUGCACGAAAGCGUGGGGAGCAAA